rnacentral:ncRNA from 2 species
GGACGAAUCUCUGGAGAGACUCCCUCUCGCUUUUAAUAGCGCGGAGGAAAAAGAGCGCCGAAGGAGCAAAUCCGCUAUUUUAGCGGAUAAUCUCUCAGGUAAAAAGGACAGAGACAAGCGA